rnacentral:rRNA from 1 species
UACGGGGGGGCAAGCGUUGUUCGGAAUUACUGGGCGUAAAGGGCUCGUAGGUGGCCAACUAAGUCAGACGUGAAAUCCCUCGGCUUAACCGGGGAACUGCGUCUGAUACUGGAUGGCUUGAGGUUGGGAGAGGGAUGCGGAAUUCCAGGUGUAGCGGUGAAAUGCGUAGAUAUCUGGAGGAACACCGGUGGCGAAGGCGGCAUCCUGGACCAAUUCUGGACGCUGAGGAGCGAAAGCCAGGGGAGCAAAGCGGGG